GUUUAUUAUUUGAGAAAACAAACAAUUUGAAGACCUCUGCAGUAUUGGAAACUUUUCACAAGAAUCUGAAUAGGGUAGAAAGACAAGACUGGCUCUCUCGGAAGCCAAAUUUCAGGUCUGGAAGCCAAAUUUCAGGUCUGGAUGUGUUAGUGAGUUAAGAGCUACCGAAGGAACUUAAAAAAACGAGUGAUCAAAAAAGAAUUGCACCUCGAAACAGAAA